rnacentral:rRNA from 1 species
AUUGAACGCUGGCGGCAUGCCUUACACAUGCAAGUCGAACGGCAGCGGGGACUUCGGUCCGCCGGCGAGUGGCGAACGGGUGAGUAAUGUAUCGGAAUGUACCUUUCAGUGGGGGAUAACGUAGCGAAAGUUACGCUAAUACCGCAUAUUCUCUGAGGAGGAAAGCAGGGGACCUUCGGGCCUUGUGCUGAUGGAGCGGCGGAUAUCAGAUUAGCUAGUUGGUGAGGUAAAGGCUCACCAAGGCGACGAUCUGUAGCGGGUCUGAGAGGAUGAUCCGCCACACUGGGACUGAGACACGGCCCAGACUCCUACGGGAGGCAGCAGUGGGGAAUUUUGGACAAUGGGCGCAAGCCUGAUCCAGCCAUGCCGCGUGAGUGAAGAAGGCCUUCGGGUUGUAAAGCUCUUUCGGACGGGAAGAAAUUGGUGGGGCUAAUAUCCCCAUCGGAUGACGGUACCGUAAUAAGAAGCACCGGCUAACUACGUGCCAGCCGCCGCCGUAAAAC